GAUGAACGCUGGCGGCGUGCCUAAUACAUGCAAGUCGAGCGAACAGACGAGGAGCUUGCUCCUCUGACGUUAGCGGCGGACGGGUGAGUAACACGUGGAUAACCUACCUAUAAGACUGGGAUAACUUCGGGAAACCGGAGCUAAUACCGGAUAACAUGUUGAACCGCAUGGUUCAACAGUGAAAGACGGUCUUGCUGUCACUUAUAGAUGGAUCCGCGCCGCAUUAGCUAGUUGGUAAGGUAACGGCUUACCAAGGCAACGAUGCGUAGCCGACCUGAGAGGGUGAUAGGCCACACUGGAACUGAGACACGGUCCAGACUCCUACGGGAGGCAGCAGUAGGGAAUCUUCCGCAAUGGGCGAAAGCCUGACGGAGCAACGCCGCGUGAGUGAAGAAGGUCUUCGGAUCGUAAAACUCUGUUAUUAGGGAAGAACAAAUGUGUAAGUAACUAUGCACGUCUUGACGGUACCUAAUCAGAAAGCCACGGCUAACUACGUG
rnacentral:rRNA from 1 species